AUGCUGCCGAAGGAAUAUUUCCUAGAUCGAUGGAGAAAGGACUUAAAGAGGCAUUACACUUUGAUCAGAAGUAGUUAUGAUGAUGUGCGGGGUAGAUCAGACACGCGUAAUUACGAGCUUAUGAUCCAAAGAUGUUCGAAAGUAGCAGCCAAAAUAUCCUCGAACACUGACAAAGUCCAUGCUUUCCUGCACUAUGUUGAUGAGUUUGAUAAAACAUGUGAAGGUUCCACAUGUCAGUCGACUAUCCAAUCAACGAUGGCCAACCCAGCAGUGGCUUUGGAUAAGGGUAAAAAGAUUUUAAGCCCUAACGUCGUUAGAGGGAAGGGGAGACCUCCAAAUAAGAGGAAGGCUCCACCUGUGGAGAAGCUGGCAACAAAGCGGAAAAAACAGACUUGCAGGAAACUAUUGGUUGAUGAAAGUGCAGUGGGUGAGAGGCCAGGAUCUCAACCUUAAAAGUGAAUGAAUUUUUGAGAAGGGCUCAAGUUGUAUAAAAAGAUUUUGUGAGCUGUUGGAAGUUUUUUGUCAAAUCAGUGUUGGUGUAUAUGGGGACCGGAGCUUAUUAUGACUCCCAAAGAUGGAGGCUUGGAUAUAAUUUUGCAAAUAGUUUUGGUAGUGUUCCGACGGUCUUGUUGAAAUCAGAAAGAAAGUUGAGACAAGGUCCGCAUUGACAAAAAACCGAGUCUCAUCUCAUUGUUGGGUUGAGGAUUCAAUCGGAAUGCAUUAUAUUGGAGCCGGGCUGAUUUAAAGUACUGAAGCUAUGUUCAUGGAAGUUUGACAAGGAGCUUAUGAACUGCAGCAUACUCGCGUUUUAAUUGGUCGAUGGCAAUUGUAAAUUAUAGUAUAUAUUUCAUACAGUAAUAUGGAUGUGAAUGUAGCAUGGAUAUUGUACAGGUCACUACAAUUUCCAAUAUCCAUUACAAAGUAUGUAGCCAAAAUGCUGGAAGUUCAGUUUAUUUGGAAUACACGAACAAGUUUGAUGGCA